UUGUUAUUGGUAUGAGCUUUCGUGUGCACACACACUUCUUUAGAUACACUGAAGAAGUGUGUGUACACAUGAAAGCUCAUACCAAUAACAA